rnacentral:misc_RNA from 1 species
UCUCCGUAGGUGAACCUGCGGAGGGAUCAUUAAGAAUUGAACAGCAGUGUCUGGCACUGUUGCCCAUUCUAACCCUUUGUGAACUACAACUCUGUUGCUUCGGGGGCGACCCCGCCGUUUCGGCGGUGGCGCUCCCGGUGGCCCAAAAAACUCUUGUUUUGUAUGGCCUAUCAGAAAUACUAUCUAAUAGUUAAAACUUUCAGCAACGGAUCUCUUGGUUCUGGCAUCGAUGAAGAACGCAGC